UAACACAUGCAAGUCGAGCGGUAGCACAGAGAGCUUGCUCUCGGGUGACGAGCGGCGGACGGGUGAGUAAUGUCUGGGAAACUGCCUGAUGGAGGGGGAUAACUACUGGAAACGGUAGCUAAUACCGCAUAACGUCGCAAGACCAAAGUGGGGGACCUUCGGGCCUCAUGCCAUCAGAUGUGCCCAGAUGGGAUUAGCUAGUAGGUGGGGUAACGGCUCACCUAGGCGACGAUCCCUAGCUGGUCUGAGAGGAUGACCAGCCACACUGGAACUGAGACACGGUCCAGACUCCUACGGGAGGCAGCAGUGGGGAAUAUUGCACAAUGGGCGCAAGCCUGAUGCAGCCAUGCCGCGUGUGUGAAGAAGGCCUUCGGGUUGUAAAGCACUUUCAGCGGGGAGGAAGGCGGUAAGGUUAAUAACCUUGUCGAUUGACGUUACCCGCAGAAGAAGCACCGGCUAACUCCGUGCCAGCAGCCGCGGUAAUACGGAGGGUGCAAGCGUUAAUCGGAAUUACUGGGCGUAAAGCGCACGCAGGCGGUCUGUCAAGUCGGAUGUGAAAUCCCCGGGCUCAACCUGGGAACUGCAUUCGAAACUGGCAGGCUAGAGUCUUGUAGAGGGGGGUAGAAUUCCAGGUGUAGCGGUGAAAUGCGUAGAGAUCUGGAGGAAUACCGGUGGCGAAGGCGGCCCCCUGGACAAAGACUGACGCUCAGGUGCGAAAGCGUGGGGAGCAAACAGGAUUAGAUACCCUGGUAGUCCACGCCGUAAACGAUGUCGAUUUGGAGGUUGUGCCCUUGAGGCGUGGCUUCCGGAGCUAACGCGUUAAAUCGACCGCCUGGGGAGUACGGCCGCAAGGUUAAAACUCAAAUGAAUUGACGGGGGCCCGCACAAGCGGUGGAGCAUGUGGUUUAAUUCGAUGCAACGCGAAGAACCUUACCUGGUCUUGACAUCCACAGAACUUUCCAGAGAUGGAUUGGUGCCUUCGGGAACUGUGAGACAGGUGCUGCAUGGCUGUCGUCAG
rnacentral:rRNA from 1 species